rnacentral:rRNA from 1 species
CCUAUGGGGGGCAGCAGGCGCGAAUCUUUUGCAAUGCGCGCAAGCGUGACAAAGCGAGCCAGAGUGCUUUUCAAUUGAAAAGCUUUUGCCAAAUCUAAAAAUUUUGGCGAAUAAGGACUGGGCAAGACUAGUGCCAGCCGCCGCGGUAAUACUAGCGGUCCAAGUCGCAGCCAUCAUUAUUGGGUCUAAAACAUCCGUAGCUUGCUUAUUAAGUUUCUUGUGAAAUCUUAUCUCUUAAGGAUAAGGCGUGCAAGAAAUACUGUUAAGCUAGAGACUGGAAGACGUAGAAAGUAUGUCUAAAGUAGCGGUAAAAUGUGUUAAUCUUAGGCAGACUCACAACAGCGAAGGCAUUCUACGAGGACAGUUCUGACAGUAAAGGAUGAAGGCUAGGGGCGCAAAGUGGAUUAGAUACCCCCGUAGUCC